UCAAUUUUUAGAAACUGGCUUAUUUCAGGAUAAUUUUUCACAAAUCAUUUCUACCAAUACUUAAGCCUUUUGACGGCAAUUUCAAGAGAAAAUAAAAUUGCCAGCAAAGCACGAGUAAUUGAGAAUUUAAUUUCAGAAAAAACUAGCUUCCGGAUGGUAAAACGUCGAAUUGAAGUUUUUUGAUAGCAAAAUUCGUAAAGGUAAUAGCAAUUGCGUGAAAAUAACUACGCCCGACAGUCUUAAACUGAUAUGAAAAUUGGCGACACAGAAAAUUAUUAAAGAGGAUGAACGAAAAUCUAUUAAAAUUACGAUUAAAUGAUUUGCUUGGCACCAAUAAACUGAUA